rnacentral:rRNA from 1 species
GAUGAACGCUGGCGGCGUGCCUAAUACAUGCAAGUCGAGCGAACAGACGAGGAGCUUGCUCCUCUGACGUUAGCGGCGGACGGGUGAGUAACACGUGGAUAACCUACCUAUAAGACUGGGAUAACUUCGGGAAACCGGAGCUAAUACCGGAUAAUAUAUUGAACCGCAUGGUUCAAUAGUGAAAGACGGUUUUGCUGUCACUUAUAGAUGGAUCCGCGCCGCAUUAGCUAGUUGGUAAGGUAACGGCUUACCAAGGCAACGAUGCGUAGCCGACCUGAGAGGGGGAUCGGCCACACGGGAACUGAGACACGGUCCAGACUCCUACGGGAGGCAGCAGUAGGGAAUCUUCCGCAAUGGGCGAAAGCCUGACGGAGCAACGCCGCGUGAGUUAUGAAGGUCUUCGGAUCGUAAAACUCUGUUAUUAGGGAAGAACAAAUGUGUAAGUAACUAUGCACGUCUUGACGGUACCUAAUCAGAAAGCCACGGCUAACUACGUG